rnacentral:lncRNA from 12 species
GCUUUCUUUUUAGUUUUUCAACAACAGAACAAGCACUUUGGGGAAAUGGACUCAUUAUUUCUUUGUUGGAAGUAAUGGAAGAAUCUGAAAAAUGCCCGGAUCUGCUCUGCUAAGUGGUGAUAAGGGCACUAUUUUCCAAGAACAUCCUGCACCUAAUCAAUAGUUUGCUGUUCACGACUCCUCCAGCACCGGCUUGGUCUCUCUGGUAUUCUGCCUGCAACAUGCAGUUUAAUCUCCUCAAAAGAUGUACUUCCUCUACCUCCCCCUGCCCAGCUGUGCCUCGUCAGGAGAUGUCAGACCUGCAAGCUGAAAUGUCA